rnacentral:rRNA from 1 species
CCUACGGGUGGCUGCAGUGGGGAAUAUUUGGCAAUGGGCGCAAGCCUGACCCAGCAAUGCCGCGUGAAGGAAGAAGGCUUUCGGGUUGUAAACUUCUUUUACAGGGGAAGAGCCGAAGACGGUACCCUUAAAACAAUCCACGGCUAACUACGUGCCAUCAGCCGCGUUAAUACGUAGGUGGCCAGCGUUGUCCGGAUUUACUGGGUGUAAAGGGCGUGUAGCCGGGAAGGCAAGUCAGAUGUGAAAUCCGGUGGCUCAACCUCCGAAUUGCAUUUGAAACUGUUUUUCUUGAGUACUGGAGAGGCAGACGGAAUUCGUUGUGUAGCGGUGAAAUGCGUAGAUAUAAGGAGGAACACCAGUGGCGAAGGCGGUCUGCUGGACAGCAACUGACGGUGAGGCGCGAAAGCGUGGGUAGCAAACAGGAUUAGAUACCCCUGUAGUC